CCUACGGGAGGCAGCAGUGGGGAAUUUUGGACAAUGGGGGCAACCCUGAUCCAGCAAUGCCGCGUGAGUGAAGAAGGCCUUCGGGUUGUAAAGCUCUUUUGUCAGGGAAGAAACGGUGAUCUCUAAUACAGAUUACUAAUGACGGUACCUGAAGAAUAAGCACCGGCUAACUACGUGCCAGCAGCCGCGGUAAUACGUAGGGUGCAAGCGUUAAUCGGAAUUACUGGGCGUAAAGCGUGCGCAGGCGGUUAUAUAAGUCAGAUGUGAAAUCCCCGGGCUCAACCUGGGAACUGCAUUUGAGACUGUAUGGCUAGAGUGUGUCAGAGGGGGGUAGAAUUCCACGUGUAGCAGUGAAAUGCGUAGAUAUGUGGAGGAAUACCGAUGGCGAAGGCAGCCCCCUGGGAUAACACUGACGCUCAUGCACGAAAGCGUGGGGAGCAAACAGGAUUAGAUACCCUGGUAGUCCACGCCCUAAACGAUGUCUACUAGUUGUCGGGUCUUAAUUGACUUGGUAACGCAGCUAACGCGUGAAGUGACCGCCUGGGGAGUACGGUCGCAAGAUUAAAACUCAAAAUUGAAAUUGACCGG
rnacentral:rRNA from 1 species